GUGAGCGUCGGCUCGGUGUUAGUACCAGCUGGCAGAGCCUGUCCUCCUUCCUUGCUGAUUACCUCCCUCAGCAUGCGUCCAGUCAGAAGAGCAUAUGGCCUCUACUCCCACUUGAUUCAAUUGCUACCAUUUCCAGAGACGUCUUUGACUCUCUCCCCAGUAUUCACGUUGAGAAAACCUGUGAACUUCUUCCCAAGCUUGGGCAGAGGAGAGUAUGGAUGAGUCGAGAAAGACCCAAGUGAUGAAGUUUAAAAAACUUCUGGAUUGAAUCUUCGCAGAGUCGUUAUUUGCUUUGAAAGAUAUAGCAGAAUUCUACUGAAUAUUGAUAGCAACUUCUAGAGUCUGGGAGCGUAACCUCUCCCCUGCCCCAGGAGAAACGGAGGAAAUGACACCGAUCAGGAGGACAAAUCUGGUCUUGCUGCCACAAGCUGACACAAUGAGACAGACCUAGACACACAUACACUGCCACACAUUGCCUCCAAAGACGAUCAUCAAGGUGAAAGGCAAUGUGAACACUACGAUGGAGCAUCUGAGGUGCCAGCUGGCCUUCAGCUCUCCGUUGGUCAAGCCGUCUCUCCCGAGUGCCUCUCUAUAAAAAGAUACACCUUGAACUAAAUUUGCACUUUAUUCCUUUCAUCUCCCCUUGACUGGAACAAUAGUGUGAUAAAUCUGUCAUUGGUUUAGAGUAUGUUGCAUUAUUUCUUUCUUGGCUUAUUAUGAGCCCUUGUCCUGUACGCUACUGGCUUGUGAAACUGUUAUAAAUCCCACAGUGAGCCUGUGUUAAGUAAACUAUUGGCAAAGACAGUCUCAGUCUCUGAGCAUAAUUUUAUGCAAAAAAUAAUAUUGAAAAUAAUUGCAACUAUAUUAGUGACAAAGAGAAAAGAAUUUGGGGAAAAGAGCCACAUUUGGUGAGAUGUAAAGCAGACUCUAUCUAAUAGUUCUUAAUAUCAUUCAAGCAGAAAAUAAAUGACUGUGCCUUGAGAUGACUCUUUCCCAAUUCUCUCUACCUAUCAAAAUGCUGUCUGUUUUUUCCUCAAUCCAUCCAGUGGCUUGUUUUGUGGGGUGAAAUUAUAUUGUACUGUACUGGUAAAGCAUACUGUACUAGUAAAGCAUUCAUUAAUAUUUCUCAAAUACAAAAUUUUGUCUUUAACUCAAAAUGAGUAGUGGGAGCAAUAAUCUGCAAUUCCAUACAAAUUAAUAAGAAAUUAUUAUCAGGA